UACGUAAAAGACAAGUGUUAUUCAUCUUUAAAAGGUUUAAAGGGUACCUAGACUGGAAAUCAAGCCUUAGUAGGGACUAAUUUCCUAGAGUUUUAUAUGUGAAAAUUGAACCACAUGUGUAAUGUCAAUAUAUUUUGAUACGUGGGGGACAGGUAGCAGCGAAGGCUAUUUUCUAUGUAAUAACUGACGUUGAGGGACGAAGCCCAGGGGAGCGAGAAGG
rnacentral:rRNA from 1 species